rnacentral:rRNA from 1 species
GACGAAGGGGGCUAGCGUUGUUCGGAAUUACUGGGCGUAAAGCGCGCGUAGGCGGCUCUUCAAGUCAGGCGUGAAAGCCCCCGGGCUUAACCCGGGAAUAGCGCUUGAUACUGUUGGGCUUGAGUCCGGGAGAGGAUAGUGGAAUUCCCAGUGUAGAGGUGAAAUUCGUAGAUAUUGGGAAGAACACCAGUGGCGAAGGCGGCUAUCUGGACCGGAACUGACGCUGAGGCGCGAAAGCGUGGGGAGCAAACAGGG